rnacentral:rRNA from 1 species
GACGAACGCUGGCGGCGUGCUUAACACAUGCAAGUCGAACGGAAAGGCCCUGCUUUUGUGGGGUGCUCGAGUGGCGAACGGGUGAGUAACACGUGAGUAACCUGCCCUUGACUUUGGGAUAACUUCAGGAAACUGGGGCUAAUACCGGAUAGGAGCUCCUGCUGCAUGGUGGGGGUUGGAAAGUUUCGGCGGUUGGGGAUGGACUCGCGGCUUAUCAGCUUGUUGGUGGGGUAGUGGCUUACCAAGGCUUUGACGGGUAGCCGUCCUGAGAGGGUGACCGGCCACAUUGGGACUGAGAUACGGCCCAGACUGCAACGGGAGGCAGCAGUGGGGAAUAUUGCACAAUGGGCGGAAGCCUGAUGCAGCAACGCGGCGUGCGGGAUGACGGCCUUCGGGUUGUAAACCGCUUUCGCCUGUGACGAAGCGUGAGUGACGGUAAUGGGUAAAGAAGCACCGGCUAACUACGUG